AGUGAACGCUGGCGGCAGGCCUAAUACAUGCAAGUCGAACGGCAGCACAGCAGAGCUUGCUCUGUGGGUGGCGAGUGGCGGACGGGUGAGGAAUACGUGGGAAUCCGCCCAGUCGUGGGGGAUAACGUAGGGAAACUUACGCUAAUACCGCAUGCGCCCUUCGGGGAAGCGGGGACCGUUCGGGCCGUGGCGCGAUUGGAUGAGCCCACGUCGGAUUAGCUAGUUGGCGGGGUAAAGGGCCCACCAAGGCGACGAUCCGUAGCUGGUCUGAGAGGAUGAUCAGCCACACUGGAACUGAGACACGGUCCAGACUCCUACGGGAGGCAGC
rnacentral:rRNA from 1 species